rnacentral:rRNA from 1 species
AACGCGAAGAACCUUACCUGGGCUUGAACCGCACAGGACCAGCUUGAGAAAUCAGGCCUUCCCGCAAGGGACCUGUGUAGAGGUGCUGCAUGGCUGUCGUCAGCUCGUGCCGUGAGGUGUUGGGUUAAGUCCCGCAACGAGCGCAACCCUUACUCAUAGUUGCUACCCGCAAGGGAGAACUCUAUGAGGACUGCUCCGGAUAACGGAGAGGAAGGUGGGGAUGAGGUCAAGUCAGCAUGGCCUUUAUGUCCAGGGCUACACACGUGUUACAAUGCGCGCCACAAAGCGUUGCGAACCCGCGAGGGGGAGCUAAUCGCAAAAAAGCGCGCUCAGUUCGGAUUGCAGUCUGCAACUCGACUGCAUGAAGCCGGAAUCGCUAGUAAUGGCGCAUCAGAACGGCGCCGUGAAUACGUUCCCGGGCCUUGUA